UUAGACCUCAGAUCAGGCAGG
rnacentral:rRNA from 1 species